rnacentral:rRNA from 1 species
AACGAACGCUGGCGGCAGGCCUAACACAUGCAAGUCGAGCGAAGCCUUCGGGCUUAGCGGCGGACGGGUGAGUAGCGCGUGGGAACGUGCCCUUUGGUACGGGAUAGCCCCGGGGAACUGGGAGUAAUACCGUAUGUGGUCGAGAGACGAAAGAUUUAUCGCCAAAGGAUCGGCCCGCGUUGGAUUAGGUAGUUGGUGGGGUAAUGGCCUACCAAGCCGACGAUCCAUAGCUGGUUUGAGAGGAUGAUCAGCCACACUGGGACUGAGACACGGCCCAGACUCCUACGGGAGGCAGCAGUGGGGAAUCUUAGACAAUGGGGGAAACCCUGAUCUAGCCAUGCCGCGUGAUCGAUGAAGGCCUUAGGGUUGUAAAGAUCUUUCAGUGGGGAAGAUAAUGACUGUACCCACAGAAGAAGCCCCGGCUAACUCCGUGCCAGCCGCCGCAGUAAAAC